rnacentral:rRNA from 1 species
GGUGAACGCUGGCGGCGUGCUUAAGACAUGCAAGUCGAACGGGCUCUUCGGAGCCAGUGGCGCACGGGUGAGUAACGCGUACCUGACCUACCCCAAAGUCGCGGAUAACGAUUCGAAAGAAUCGCUAAUACGUGAUGUGCUGUCAGAUCCUGUUCUGCCAGUAAAGAUUUAUUGCUUUGGGAUGGGGUUGCGUUCCAUCAGCUAGUUGGUGGGGUAAAGGCCCACUAAGGCGACGACGGAUCGCCGGCCUGAGAGGGUGGCCGGCCACAGGGGCACUGAGACACGGGUCCCACUCCUACGGGAGGCAGCAGUUAGGAAUCUUCCACAAUGGGCGAAAGCCUGAUGGAGCGACGCCGCGUGAGGGAUGAAGGUCUUCGGAUCGUAAACCUCUGAAUCAGGGACGAAAGACGCGAAAGCGGGAUGACGGUACCUGAGUAAUAGCACCGGCUAACUCCGUG